rnacentral:rRNA from 1 species
UGAGUAACCUGCCCCAGACUCUGGGAUAAGCACUGGAAACGGUGUCUAAUACCGGAUAUGAGCUUCAGCCGCAUGGCUAGGAGUUGGAAAGAAUUUCGGUUUGGGAUGGACUCGCGGCCUAUCAGCUUGUUGGUGAGGUAACGGCUCACCAAGGCGACGACGGGUAGCUGGUCUGAGAGGAUGAUCAGCCACAUUGGGACUGAGACACGGCCCAGACCU